rnacentral:lncRNA from 10 species
GUGAAACUCUGUCUCUACUAUAAAAAUACAAAAAAUUAGCCAGGCGUGGUGUCAGGUGCCUGCAAUCCCAGCUACUCAGGAGGCUGAGGCAUGAAAAUCGUUUGAAUCUGGGAGGCAGAGGUUGCAGUGAGCUGAGAUCACGCCAUUACGCUCCAGCCUGGGCAAAAAGAGCAAAACUCUGUCUCAAAAAAAAAAAAGAAAAGAAAAUAUGCAUUUUAAAUCAUACUCUUUAAUAAUAUUCUUUUUUUUUAUGUUUAACAACAAAAAAAACUUUAUUGAAUUACAAAUUUUAAAAUGGAUCACUUAAUUUAAAAGUGAGAUUAUUUUAUUCUGAAACAUUAUUUCAAAAAUGUACUUUGUUUUUGAAAUAAAACAAAAUCUUCAACUAUGAACUGACAAAAUAGAGGUGAGUCGGUACCAGUGGGCCAAUUCUUAACAUGGACAUUUAAAAAUGCUGCUUUCUGUAUUACAACAAAAUGAUAUGCAAUAAGAAAUUGGAAAAAGGGAGCAAAGGAGAGUGCAAAGCAUGUACUGAGGUCUUUCUACGGGUGCCUGACAGAAUGCAGAUUCAGCAUAAAAUGUAGACUUUGCAACAGUGGCCUUUAAAGUAUGCUAGAGCAAGUGUACCCUAGGGAACCUAUGUCAAAACAAUUUUUGUCUUACUCCAAACAGAAAAAAUGGUACACACUUUAACAAAAGCAAAACUUAAUUGUAAGAUCUGUACUGUAAAGCUACUUGCUAUAGCCCAUAUAUUCAGUUUGUUCAACAAUCUCACUCAUUGACAGAAAAAGUCAGCAAAUAAGACUUGGGACAAAAUUAUUUUCUAUCAGUCUCCACAUGGAAAGACCACCGCUUUAAUGAAUUAUACAGUCCUUAAGAUUAAUCCUUGGUCAGUAUAGAUUUCCGAAUCAAAAUCUAGUCAUGAACUGUUUACAAUAGCUAUACUACACUAAGAUGCUAAACAUUUUCUUUCCAGUAUGUCUUCCUAAGAGGGGAAAAAAAUAGUGGGAAGUUCUCAUCUUUGCCUAUGAGGGGAUUUAUGAAAAGCCUUCUAAACUACAACAGUGUUCUUCUGCAAAACUAAAACACAUUAUAAAGUCAAACAGGUAAAUUAACAGGAAAACCAAACUGAUCUCAAUAAAGUCUUGUUUCCAAAAAUCUAUUAAGAACAAGUAAUAUACAUGUACAAGAAAUUACAAGAGAUGAUGAUCACGGUUAGUUACAGAUGCAAAAUAAUAUCUAAUAUUCCAAGCUUGUGAACAUAAUAAUUAAAAUCAAAUUCAUAAGCUACCUCAAAAUUAUGUACAUUUUAGAUAAGCUGGUCAAGUAUUAUUUGAAUACACACCAUAUUUGGUAAACCUAAAAUUAUAUUACCUUUUCUCCUCCUUUAAUAUUUGUAGCUACAUGCCAAUAUGGAAAAAAAAGUAUUUUCAUUUAUGUAUUAAUAACAGAGAGUAACAGAAUUUCUACUGUGUAUGUUUCACAGUGUAAAAGAAAAAAAGUUAAGG